CUUUGCGAGCACAUACCUGCGCCCGAGUCGCGCGUUCCGCAUCCGUGAGGACCCACAGG
rnacentral:ribozyme from 1 species